CACGGCUAGAAUAAAGCAGGCAGAAGAAUUUGGAAGGACUUCAUUUGAUGAGUCUUCUGGCCCUCAUCUUUCUCCAGUGGUGGAUGCUUCCUCUCCUCAAACAUUGGACUCCAAGUUCUUCAGCUUUUGUACUCUUGGACUUAUACCUUGGACUUGGACUUACAUCUUGAACUUGGUUUACCAGGGGCUGAAGGCUGCGCUGUCGGCUUCCCUACUUCUGAGGUUUUGGGACUUGAACUGGCUUCCUUGUGCUUCAGCUUGCAGAUGGCCUAUGAUGGGACUUCAUUUUGUGAUCAUCAAAAUGGCUGGCACAAAGUCAAUGAUGCAAACCAAAUGUGGAGUGUGCAGAGCAGAGAUUGAUCUUGGGCAGCACUGAGUCCUGCAAGCUGUGAACAAUCAAUCAUUUCAUUCAAAGGAAGAGUGAAAUGAGACUUGAUAGUAAUGCUGUGCGCAUACAUACAGCGUUGGACAUCUAGCUUGAAGAAUGACUCAGAAUAUAAUAUUAAGAUACCAGAGGGCAAAGUCAAGAGCCGUGGACAUUUGUUCCCAGAAAGUGGGUCUGAACUCCUUUCAAGGAAUGCUAUGAACCAGUGACUGCUGUGUGUAAGUUGGAUCUGUGAAGUUCAGAAAACUUGUUUCUUUAGUUCACAAUUCUUCAGGUCUGAGAAACUGAAUGUAAGGACUCUCAUCUGCACCUGAAUUUGAUUUGGAUAAAGAGAAUCUAAACCUCAAGCCUUAGCCUUAUAUCAUAAUGCAAUAGGACUUUUUAGAGUGUUUUUGUUUGUUUGUUUGUUUGUUUUGCAGGGGUUGGUUUCAUUUUGGAUUUUGGAAUAUAUGAAAGUUAUGGCCAGUGGUGUAUUUUGGUGUGUGUGUUGUAAUGUGUCCCCAUAUUUUUGACACUUCUCCCAUCAAGAUAUAUAUUCUAUAUCCCCUUCCCUAGAAUCUGAAUGGACUUGGAAUAGCUUCUAUCUUCAGAGCAUGGUAGAAAUACUUUCAAAGUUGAAACACAGGAAGUCAUGUAGCUUCCACCUUCUCAAUUUCAACACUUUCUUUCAGAAUUCUGACACACUUGAAAGAAGUUUGACUACCUCAAGGCCAUUAUGCCCAUAAGACCUUAUCCAGAUGCUCUGCCAGAACCAGCUGAGGCCAGCCUCCCCUUCCCCCAUUAAAGACUAUGAUAUGUAAGUGAAGAUAUCUUGGAACCAACCAACCGCCCCUUCCACCAUCUGAAUAACAUCAAAUAUCCUCAGUCAAGCUAAUACAGAAAAAAAUGAAUCAGCAAGCUUACCUCUGCUGGAAUUUCUGACCACAAAACAAUGAGAUAGAGCAAAAUGAGUACUGUCUUAAGCCACUGAGUUUUGGGAGAGUUUCUUAUCCAGCAAUAGAUAACUAGAGCAAUAGGCAUUAGGUUAUUCUAAAUUUUUGGCAGACUAUUUGGUGAAUAUUUUUGUAUAUCUCCAGAUAUGUUUCCGCAAUAGUUUUUCAAUACCACUUUGGUACUGUUUCAAGCUUUCAUCUAUCUAUACCUCUCCACAGAGUAUAUUUUUCAUAGUUUUAAAUACAUCUAUAAGACAGUAACUCACAAAUAUUAUCUUCACUCAUAAUCUCUCCUCCAAGCUGCUGACAUAUAUUUUCCCAUUUUACUUCAAUAUUUGAGUGUUUAUGUACAAUGUACAAAUUAGUACAUUUAGAAUUUAACUCCUGGUUUUUCUCUUAUUCAAUAAAUAAACAAACAAACAAACCAUUCCACCAUAUGUGCUUCUCUCUAAUUUUUCUCCAAUCCUAGUAAAUGUCACUUCCAUGCAUCUAUUUCUGAAAACUGGUUAUCUGCCAGUCUCCAAUUUCCCUCUCCACACUAAUCAUUUCACCAUCAAAUAUAUCACAAAUUCAUCUAAUUAUUUUCCUCCCAAGAGGCCUUCUCUAACUACAAUACCUAAAAUACACAGUCAUUCUUUAUUCUCUAACACUCAGUCAUACUGUAUUUCAAUUCCCUAUUUAAUCUUCUUCAUAGAACUUAAAAUAGGUGCAAUUAUACUAUCUAGCUGUUUACUUAUUUAUAUGUUUGUUAUCUGUCUGUGCCUAACACAAUAUAAUUUUCCUAAGGACAAGUAUUCUCUUGUUCUUGCUAAUCAUGUUAUUAUAAAGACAAGAAGAGUAACUUGCAUUUUUGUAGAUGACUUAUAAAACACUAAAUAAAAUGAAUAAACUUGCACUGUCAUUACCUAUGACAUCACCUACAGAUCACUUUAGUAACCUUUUAAUUGAUGUCCUUGCUUUCACGUUGUCUUCCUUCAAAUAACCAUUUAUAGCUUCACUAUCCACUUCCAGGGCUUCCCAACAGUUUCUUUUUAAUUAUUUCAAAUAUUACCUUAAAAUUUAUUUUUCUCAAAGACAUACCAAGAAGAAAAUUCUUCAUGGGCUAAGAAGAAAAUUAUAUAGUAUAUAUGCUAGCAAUAUUCAAUUUAGACAACUGUCAAAGUGCCUAAGCAUGAUUUAAAAGAUGGUGCAGGAUUUAUCCUUUUCAACUUUAAGGUUUCAACUUAAAUAUUUUUCUAAGAAGGUCAUUAAAACCAUCAAUCCACCCGCAACCAAACAGUGCUUGUCAUGCACUCUAGUGUCCAGCACAGAGUGUGGCACAUAGUAGGUACUCAACAAAUAAUGGAUGAAUAUAUUCAUUGAUCAAGGAACUAAUAAAAUCAUAUUAAAUAAACAGGUAUAUGAAGAAUAAAUCAAAACUGCAGAUAUGAUGCAAUAGCUUCUUUCCCCCUAAAAAUGGUAUUAAAUGAUUAGUACCUUGUAGUAUAAUUUUCAAUUUAGGAAAUACUAGAUGAUUUAAUUAAUGUACUUUUAAAUCCCUGGGAUCUGAAAAAGAGAAAAUAUAUACUAUAAGGCAAUUAAUGCAGAGUUUAAUGCAUGCAUCUUGAAGCAAUGUUUUAUUAUUUCCUAUAUAUGUAACAAAAAAGCUAUAGGAAUAGAUAUCAAAGAGACUUCAUGCUUAAACAAAAUUGAAUGUGUUUUUAAGAAAGCUCUGAUUCUAUGUUUAAAUAACUCCUUGCAAUUACUGACCUUCUGCUAUAGUUAGAUUAUUUCAGAUUGUUUUCUCACAUUAAAUUAAUUUUCAUUACCAUUCCUACUGCCUUGCUAAUUAAAAAUCUAACUAUUAAUGAAAGUUGUACAAAAAGCCAUAAAAAUUAAAAAUUUUCUAUAUAACAAUUUAUUUUAUUCUUCCCACACUUUAUUCCAUUUUAAGACAUUUCAUGUGCUUAGAGUUCAUAAUUUUUUUUAUAAUUACAAAUUUUUAAAGUGUAGUAUAUUCUCUCACCCAUUCAAUGAUUACUUGUUAAGUAUUUAAUUGUGUAUCUGGCAUAAUACACAUGAGGGUCAGGCACAGACACUGUCUCUGGUAUCAUGGUUAUUAUAGGUCAAUGUGGAGACCUCCACUAUGUAAAUAAUACAAAUAAUUCUAUAAAUUGUAAUUAAGUGGUAGGCAGAAAAACUACAGGUUGCAAUUAACGAGUAGAAGGUGGCAAUUUAACCAAGUCUGCAGGCUCAGAUAAGUCUUCCAUUAAAUAGUAUAUAAUCCAAGGCCCAGAAAAUAACACUGCAUUAGCUAGGAGGGGAAAACAGGAAUGAAUAUGCAGAUUAUGUCCCAUAAAGAAGGAAAGUCUGGGAGAAAAUAGACUGUGCUUCUUAAGUAAGGCAUUUCCUAUGAAUGCUCAGAUUCCUUCAAGUCUUAGUAUCUUAAAAAGCUUUUUAAAGGUAAUUGGUUAUUUACUAUUUAUUGUUUCAUUAGUAAAGAUGUUGCUUCCAUGUGUCUCUGUAUAGUACAUGUUUGAGACGACAGCUGUUAUAUUAAAUCAUGCUGUCUUAUUUGAUACAAGCGUUUCAUAAGGUUCUCAUUUUUAUUUCUAAAGAUGACUUUUUAAAAUUAUGGUUUUAUUUCCAACAUUUUUUUUUUUGACAG
rnacentral:lncRNA from 1 species